rnacentral:rRNA from 1 species
UACGUAGGGGGGCGAGCGUUGUCCGGAUUCAUUGGGCGUAAAGUGUGCGCAGGUGGCCGCGCAAGUCGAGUGUGAAAUCCCCGAGCUUAACUUGGGAAUUGCGCUCGAAACUACGUGGCUCGAGUGUGGCAGAGGAAGGUGGAAUUCCUGGUGUAGCGGUGAAAUGCGCAGAUAUCAGGAGGAACACCGGUGGCGAAGGCGGCGCUCUGGGCCGGAACUGACGCUGAGGAGCGAAAGCCAGGGGAGCAAACGGG